UAAUACGUAGGGAGCAAGCGUUGUUCGGAUUUACUGGGCGUAAAGAGUGCGUAGGUGGCUAUAUAAGUCAAGGGUGAAAUCUCUACUUUCAAGGUAGAAACUGCCUUUGAUACUGUAUAGCUAGAGGACAAGAGGGGGAAAUGGAAUUCUGGGAGUAGCGGUGAAAUGCGUAGAUAUCCAGAGGAACGCCAGUAGCGAAGGCGGUUUCCUGGCUUGUUUCUGACACUGAGGCACUAAAGCUAGGGGAGCGAUCGGGAUUAGAGACCCCGGUAGUCCUAGCCCUAAACGAUGGGUACUAAGUGUGGGGGGAGCAUUACCCUCUGUGCUGAAGCUAACGCGUUAAGUACCCCGCCUGGGGAGUACGGUCGCAAGGCUG
rnacentral:rRNA from 1 species